GUUGUUAGCGUAAGGCUUUAUAGCGAAAUCGGAAUCGCUAAAGUAACAACUUGUCCCAUAGAAGCCGUGAGGCCGUUCAUGUGUGGCGAAAGCCUGCAGGACAAAAAGGUAAACAAAUCCGGCGAAAAACUAUCAAAGACGGCCCUUUGGUAGUUUUUU
rfam:Mogibacterium pumilum strain ATCC 700696 genome.